rnacentral:lncRNA from 1 species
AUUAUACAUCAUGAUGUCUUUCCUGGGCCCAGAAUACAACAGCCUCCAGAUCCUGCACUCAUGUGAUCCCUGUGGCAUCAGGUUGUAUGUCCACAUAUUAGUUUUGAACCAUACAAGAAAGAGAUGUUUAGAGCAUUCAGCAUCCAGGAGGCCAAAUGGAAACUGGUCAUAUGCACAAGUCCCAGCUUUGUGAGAUGAGCCCAUGAUAUCCAAAUCUGAAAAUAUGACUUUGGCUGUUUGUCAUCAAGUCCAGUUCUAUUGUCUUGUUCUAUCCGAAAAUCAAUAAAAUAUGGUUUUAAAUAAAGUCUGUGUCUGAGGAAUGAACAGAGAAUCCUGAUGUGGAACAUUCCUCUCGCAAGUCAAGACAGCAAUCAACAGUGGACCAGUGAUAAAAGAGGACAGAGUCCUGAACCUUUAAUAACUAUGAAGAAAGAGGCUUUUCAUCAGGAGGCGGGGAGAUUGCAUGGAAAGGAUGCCAAAGUCUGCCUACACAGAGCAAGAACAAACAAUUAUCUGACUGGCUGAGAUCACUCCAUGACUCAUGGAAGCAUUUCCCCCAUUCUGCUGUAUCUGUGAUAUUGUCUCAUAGCCACAGCUAAUUGGCAAUGUAGCCCAGGGAUUCCUCCAUCAGAUUAAAAAAACAGGAAGAUCAGAAUACAAUAAUUUGCAGAACAUGUAGUGAAACAGCAGCAGAGAGUGUGGGGCAGUUCCAGUGAACAGCAGCAAGCACUUAAAAGAGCAGGGGGGCCUGACUAUCCAAACGGGUGAAUAUCUGGUGCAGCCCGGAUUUCAUUCCUCAAACGAAAACAACACAAUAACUGACACAGCUUUCUGUAUUGUAUAAGAGGUAAGUCAUAACAGCCAGGAGCGCCAACUUUUCUACUAGCUGCUGGUUUU